rnacentral:rRNA from 1 species
GACGAGCGCUGGCGGCGUGCCUAAUACAUGCAAGUUGAGCGCUGAAGGUUGGUACUUGUACCGACUGGAUGAGCAGCGAACGGGUGAGUAACGCGUGGGGAAUCUGCCUUUGAGCGGGGGACGACAUUUGGAAACGAAUGCUAAUACCGCAUAACAACUUUAAACACAAGUUUUAAGUUUGAAAGAUGCAAUUGCAUCACUCAAAGAUGAUCCCGCGUUGUAUUAGCUAGUUGGUGAGGUAAGGGCUCACCAAGGCGAUGAUACAUAGCCGACCUGAGAGGGUGCUCGGCCACAUUGGGGCUGAGACACGACCCCAACUCCUACGGGGGGCAGCAGUAGGGAAUCUUCAGCAAUGGACUAAAGUCUGACCGAGCAACGCCGCGUGAGUGAAGAAGGUUUUCGGAUCGUAAAACUCUGUUGGUAGAGAAGAACGUUGGUGAGAGUGGAAAGCUCAUCAAGUGACGGUAACUACCCAGAAAGGGACGGCUAACUACGUGCCAGCAGCCGCAGUAA